UGGGGAAUAUUGGACAAUGGGCGCAAGCCUGAUCCAGCCAUGCCGCGUGAGUGAUGAAGGCCCUAGGGUUGUAAAGCUCUUUCACCGGUGAAGAUAAUGACGGUAACCGGAGAAGAAGCCCCGGCUAACUUCGUGCCAGCAGCCGCGGUAAUACGAAGGGGGCUAGCGUUGUUCGGAUUUACUGGGCGUAAAGCGCACGUAGGCGGACUAUUAAGUCAGGGGUGAAAUCCCGGGGCUCAACCCCGGAACUGCCUUUGAUACUGGUAGUCUUGAGUUCGAGAGAGGUGAGUGGAAUUCCGAGUGUAGAGGUGAAAUUCGUAGAUAUUCGGGGGAACACCAGGGGCGAAGGCGGCUCACUGGCUCGAUACUGACGCUGAGGUGCGAAAGCGUGGGGAGCAAACAGG
rnacentral:rRNA from 1 species